CCGAGCACACGGGCGGAAUCGGUGACGGGCGACGGCGGAGGGCACAGAAGAGCUGGGAGAGCUGGCCAGCGGGGGGGAGCGGUAACCCCAGAAGCGCCCUGAAGCGGCAGCGGCGCCUGCCUCACCGUGGCACGAGGAGGGCUGAGAAGAGCUGGUAGAGCUGGCCAGCGGGGGGGAGCGGUAACCCCAGAAGCGCCCUGAAGCGGCAGCGGCGCCUGCCUCACCACCGCACGAGGAGGGCGGAGAACAGCUGGCCAGCGGGGGGGGGAACACUAAUCCCUGAAGAGGCGGCGCCCCAGGAGGUGAGGCCAAUCCGCGGAGCUCCCUGCACCUUCUGUGCUGGAGCGUGGGGGGGGUCGCGUAUGGGCUGCAGUUGGGGACCUACGGCCCCUCUGCAGGCCCGGGGCUGUGAAAGGCUGUGGGGAGUGACGUCCCGAGCCACGUGGGUGCUGCGUGGUUCGUAGCUCCUGUCAAGCACCGGUGACCCGCGGGGUAGGCAGCGGUCGGGCUUGCAUGCUUCCAUUCCUUCUUUUAAGGCACCAUUCGGGGGGCAGUGGGCGAGGUCCUCGGGCCUCGGCUGCAGCUUUCCCUUAAGGUGUCAUUCAGGUGGGCGGAGGCUCAGGUCCGUAGCCAGCUCCACUGCCCCCUUAAGGAGUCAUUUGGGGGGGUGGCAGGCAGGGUUGGUUUGUCUCUGCCUGCGGUCCUCUCUUAAGGCAUCGUUUGGGCCAGCAGUGGGGAGGGCCGGAGGGCCCCCGCAGUCCUCCCUUAAGGUGUCAUUUGUGGGGGCAGCGGCAAGGUCCGUAGGCCCCCGCUGUCCUCACUUAAGGUACCGUUUGGGUUGGCAGUGGGUCAGGUCUGAACCCCUGUAGUUCUCACUUACGGCCUUUGGGGGGGGCAGCGGGCCAGGUCUAUUGGGCUUGGCCCGCGGCCCCUCCUUAAGGCGUCACUUGGGGCUGCAGUGGGCAAAGGCCUGGAGGUCGCCGCUGUCUGCUCUCGGGGUCAUCUUGCCGAGCUGCGGUGUGGUGCUGCCCUGCUCGCAAAAGGGUCAAGCACUGACAGUCUUUCACACCCCCAAGCCCGAGCUAUGGUGUGGUGCUGCCUAGCUCUAUGGGUGGUCAAGCACUGAUGGUCACUUGAGGGGGUUUGUGCCCUCUCAAGGCCAUCCCAUGGGGAAGCACGAGCACAUGGGGUGCCGCCAAAGAAAACCAGCAGAGAAGACCAGAGAAAAGCAGGUGUGAGUUUGCCUGCUAUUUAAUGGACAAAUAAAAUUGAUCUGCCAGGCACCUCCUUGGUGUCUGGUGCCUUUCACCUCCAAGUUCAUCCUUCCCUGCUGCGCUGUUUCUCUAAUCUCCUUUCCUGUUAUUUCACCUCCAAGUUUCCCUGCUCCCUGCCCUCUUUCAUUUCUGCAGUGGUCCUCUUGUGACCACUGCACGCGGAGUGCCUGUGGGCUGGCCGCCCAGGAUGCUGCAUCCCUUGCUGAAAAGGGAUUAGUGGGAGACGUCCAUCUUUGCUGCCGGUUGCAUCGGUCACCUGAAGCUUCAGCUGUGAAUCGCAUGAAGCGGGUCGCCUUCAGAGGUCAACCCACAUGGGUUGCCUCCAGAAAGAAGCAGAGAAGACAACAGAAAAGCUGAUUUGAGCUGGCCUGCUAUUUAAUGGACAAAUAAAAUUGAUCUGCCAGGCACCUCCUUGGUGUCUGGUGCCUUUCACCUCCAAGUUCAUCCUUCCCCGCUGCGCUGUUUCUCUCAUCUCCUUUCCUGUUACUUCACAUCCAAGUUUCCCCACCCGCUGCCCCCUUUAAUUUCUGCAGUGGUUCCCUUGUAACCACUGCGUGCUGAGUGCGUCCAAGCUGGUUGUCCAGGAUGCUGAAUCGUUUGCUGAUAAGGGAUUGAUGGAAGACAUUGCUUGACUGGAUCGGCCACCUGAGGCUGCAGCCCCGAAUCCCGCGAAACCGGUCCCCUUUGAGGGUCGAUGUGCAUCGCCCCAGGAAGGACAAGCAGACGGGACGGCAGGCGAGCAGCAGCGAGCUGACCAGGAGGGAAGAAGGCCAGGCCAGCCAAACAGGAGGCCUCGGAAGAACCGGAAGGAGACGUGGAUGGGGAAAGCAGCGGGGAAGUGGCGAGGUAGGAGAAAAGCCAGUCAGAGAAAUGGGAUGUGAAGGAAAGGGACUCUGGACAGAGUGCCCUCCCUGCCGUUAGGUCUCAAUCAUGUCUUGGCCAAACUUGGGCUUUGUGAGCCUUUGGGCGAGUUCCCUGUAACUCAGAAACGAGUCUCUGCCCUUGAUGCUGUUGCACUUUUGCAGCAGUCAGGUGGAAGGUGGACAACCCUGUAAUCGAGGUGUGUCCCCCACCACCAUGUUUGUAAAGGCCGUGGUUCUGGUUAGUGGUCUUGCACAGCACAGCCCCCCACCCUGUAAUCAGAGUCGAGGCCAGCUGUCAGACCUGGCUGCCAAUUGCUCAGCAACCUGUAAGUGGGGUGCGUGCUGCUUUCUAACAUGAGAAAAAAUGUCUAGCGUUGGACAUCCUGUAAUUGGGAGUCAAAAGUCCACUGCUGUUCCCGGCCAGUCGGAGAGGAGCCCCUGUAAGCAGGGUGGACGUAGCCUCCUUCCAAUGGCCUUAGACAGCUAGAGCAGUCUGCAGCAUUGUGCUGCAGGACGGCCUUGCAGACAGGAGCCGAGCCUCGUGGGGUGGCAGCCAACUCUUUAGACUCCAGAGCUUGAUGACUUUCCCAUGGUCUGGGUUGAAGUCUGUGGCCUCCUUUCCAAGCCCUGUGUCCAGGCACCUGUCCUUUUUCAUGCAUCUGUCUGACACUCCACGUCUGGACCCCUGGGCCGCCCUGUAACAAGGGUGCAAGUUUCUGUUUUUGGGGACAGCUCUGUUCUUUGGCCUGGCGGCCUUCCCUGUAAGCAGGGUUCUGGGCCUUUGCCUUUUGCCUCCUAAGGGCAGCGUGGCUAGCGAGAUGGACCGUGCCCUGUAAGGAGGGUGUGAGUCCUAUGUCUCUUGAUGGAGGGUUGACUUCUGCAGAGCUCUGGACUACCCUGUAAGCAGGGUCCAGGUCACAAUGUGCCUUUGCGGACAGCUCUGUCCUUUGCCAGGCCUGACAGCCCUCCUUGUAAGCAGGGAUCUGGGCUUCCCUGUUGCCCCCAUGGGCAGUGUGGCUAGCAAGACAGACCAUGCCCUGUAACGAGGGCGCAAGUCUCACGUCUCUUGGAGGGCUAGAUUGCGCAGAGCUGUGGACCACCUUGUAAGCAAGGUGCCGGUCUCAGUGUGCCUUUGGGGACAACUCUGUCUUAGCUGGCUGUGGGCCUUUCCCUUUUGCCCCCCGUGGGCAGUGUGGCGAGUGAGAUGGACCGUGCCCUGUAACGAGAGUGCGAGUCCUCUGUGUCCUGUUGCACAGAUAGUUCCUGCAGAGCUGUGGACCGCCCUGUAAGCAGGGUCCAGGUCAGUGUGUGCCUUUGGGGACAGCUCUGUCCUUUGCCAGGCCUGACGGCCCACCCUGUAAGCAGGGCUGUGGGUCUCUCCCUUUUGCCCCCCGUGGGCAGCCUGACUAGCCAGCGGGGCCGGGCCCUGUAACGAGGGUGCGAGUCCUGUGCAUGCUGUUGCACACCUAGGUUCUACAGAGCUGCGGACCGCCCUGUAAGCAGGGUCCAGGUCACAGUGUGCCUUUGGGGACAGCUCUGUCCUUUGCCAGGCCUGACGGCCCGCCCUGUAAGCAGGGCUGUGGGCCUCUCCCUUUUGCCCCCCGUGGGCAGCCUGACUAGCCAGCUGGGCCGGGCCCUGUAACGAGGGCGCCGGUCUCUGCCUUCUCGCCCCCUGGGAGCGGAGGAGGAUUUUCAGUGUAAGACUCGAGGUCAAGCGGUUUGCAGCAUCGAGCUCCUUCCUGGCCUGGGAACACUUUUUCCCGUGUCAGUGUGUGGAGAGCGAGAGAGAGGAGCGCCUGGGAGUGAAAGCAUUUGUUAUUUUCUUUUUGUUGUUAAAAUCGCUGCAGCGUACUUUAUUUUCUUCCCAGUGCUGGGGAAGGGGCGAGAUGCGUCCUUGUAGCCUUCUCCUCCCACCUCCGUACCUAGGGGGACGGAUUUCCAGGCCUUUUGGUCUCGGGGAGCGUUAGGCCCCCUCCAAUAAUUUUGGGCACACGGCCUCUCUGUAUGUCAGGGUACAGGCCUUAGGUCCCCUCUUUUUGGGUUGCUUUGGGCACUUGGUAGCUCGAUUGCAGUUCCUGCCCUCCUGGAGAGACAGCCACGUAUUCUCCACUUGAGUCCCUGGGGACGAGUGCCCUGGCACUUGGCCAGCCGUUGCUCUGUGCCCCGGACCCCGGCCUGCAGCCUGUAAGCAGGGUCCAGGCCCCCUUGAUUCUCCGGGUCGGGUCUCGUCCCACUCGGUGAGGUUGGCCACAGAUGAUACCCACAGACUGCAGGGAAGGUUGUAGGCUUGUGGAGGAUACUGGGUGCGUUGGGACCCCUGAGGCUUCGUGACCUUCCUGUAACUCAGGUCCAGGUCUCUGCUCCUCUCUUCCGCUGCUCCUGGCACCAUUGAGAUGUUUUCUUUUCGCACCCUGUAAACAGGGCUGCACCCCCCCAACCCCUCUGAUCUUGGGGGCGGAGGCCUCCUUUAGCCCUUUGGGCUCUGUGGCAGCCGUGAUCGGAAGCUGAAGUCAUGGGCUUUGUGUCAACGGACACGGGGCUGCUUUGAGCCCUGAUUGAAGACCGCCUGAGGCACCCGUCAGCUGGCUUUCAGGGCUUUACAGGUUUUCUCUGGGCUUCAUGCCCUGCAGCCAGCUGUGUGCAGGGAGCACCGCCCUGUAAGCAGGGUUGCCGGUGUGUGUGGUCACCUUCAUGGUGCCGUCCUAGCACUUCUGUCCAGAGUCCUGGCCCGUCGCGCUCUGCUCCUGGCUGGCCCGGAUGUCGGCAGCCGAGCCCACAGACGUCUGCCCUCCCCACUUUCUGCGGACAGAGGACAGUGGUCACAGGUCCAGAGGAAGAAGCAGAGAAGACAACAGACAAAUAGGAGUUAACCUAUAACCAGGACAGCAAACAGUGCCAGCCCACCGGGAGACAAAGUCCUCGAAAGCCCAGCGGCGAAGGGCCGAGGUGGGAGGUAGCCAGCCAGGGAAAAGGGUGUGAAGGAAAGGGACUCUGGACACAGUGACUGCCCUGCCCUUAGGUUUUGGUCACGUAAGAGCCAAAAUGUGGCUGAGGGAGCCUUGGAGCAGUGGGACCUGUCUGUAAGCAGGAAACAGGUCUUGGCUCUGGAGGUUGUUGCUCUUGCAGAGCUGUCAGGUGAAAGGCAGGCCUCCCUGUAAGCAGGAGGCUGCUUUCCUUGUCCCCUCAUUAAUUCCGAGGCUUCUUCACCUGGCGGCAGUGACCGCGCAGCGUGGCUGCCCUGUAACCAGGGCCCAGGGCCGCAGCUGACUAUUGAUGGGAGUAGCCAUCUUGUUAAAAGGGUGGCUGCUGCUUCCUGCCCAGAGGUGAGACUGAGCUGUGCGGCACCUUGUACGUUGUAGCAGCCCCAUAAUAGCAAGCGUGUGAGAGCGCCUUUCCCCUCAUUUCUUUCCCCUCAUUUCAGAGAACGCUGGUUCCUUGAGGGCUGUGACCUGCCUGUAACCUGGGCUCAGGUCUCCAGACUCCUCUUUUGUGCUGCCCCUGAGCUUUUCAGAAGCUCCUGCAGCCUUCACCUUUCUCCCCCUGUAAUCAGGGGGUUGGUCACCCCCGACCUCGGUUUGGGGGCUGAGGCCUCGUUUAGUCCUCUGGGCAUUGUGGCUUCUGCCCUUUCAGCCUCCAGGCACAGGGCAGUUUUGAGACCGCCUGAGGCGCCCGUCAGCUGGCAUUCAGGGCUUUGCAGGUUUUCUCUGGGCUUCAUGCCCCUCAGCCAGCUGUGUGCAGGGAGCAUCGCCCUGUAAGCAGGGUUGCUGGUGCUUGUGGUCACUGUUCAUAGUGCCACCUUAGCACUUCUGUCCAGGGUCCUGGCCCAUCGCACUCUGCUUCUGGCUGGCCCGGAUGUCAGCAGUCGAGCCCACAGACGUCUGCCUUCCCCCAUCUCCACGGAUAGAGCACAGACUGGCAGCAGAUUCAGGCCCUGAUAGGAGAAGCUGGAAAGAUGGCACACAAGCAGGAGUCAGCUGACAAGGAGGGAAGAAAACUAUGCAAAGCUGCCAGAUGGACAAGCAGCGGGCGAACCACACCAGGGCGAAAAGCCAGGAAAAUGGGAUGCGAAGGAAAAGGACUCUGGACAGAGUUAUCUCCCUGCCUUUAAGUAUCAGUCAUGUAUUACCCAAUUUUGACUGCAUGAGCUCUCUGUAACUAAGAAACGAGUUUGUGCCUUUAAUGCUGUUGCACUUCUGUGGCAGUCAGGUGGAAGCGGACAACCCUGUAAGCAAAGGCGUGUGUCACCGCCACCUCGUUUGUAAAGUGUGGAUCUAGUUGUUGGUCUUGUGCAGCGGGGCCGCCCUGUAAGCGGGGCCCGGGCCAGCUGCCAGACGUGACUGCCAGGGGCGCAGCCUCCUGUAAGCAGGGUGCGUGCUGCGUCUUACUGCAUAAGAAUGACAGGCAAUUUGAAUGUUCCUAGCAUUGGACGUCCUGUAAUCGGGAGUCAAAGUCCACUGCUGUUCCCGGCCAGUUGGAGAGGAGCCCCUGUAAGCAGGGUGGACGUAGCCUCCGUCCACUGGCAUAGACAGCCGGAGCAGUCUGCAGCAUUGUGCCGCAGGACAUCCUUGCAGACCGGAGUCGAGUCUCGUGGGGUGACAGCCAACUCUUUAGACCCCAGAGCUUGAUGACCUUCCCAUGGUCUGGGUUGAAGCCUGUGGCCUCCUCCAAUCCCUGUGUCCAGGCACCUGUCCUUUUUCAUGCAUCUGUGCCUGGCACGCCACAUCCAGACAGCUGGGCCACCCUGUAAGGAGGGUGCGAGUCCCACGUCUCUUGGUGUAGGGCUAGAUUGCGCAGAGGUGUGGACCACCCUGUAAGCAGGGCCCAGGUCUCAAUGUGCCUUUGAGGGCAGCUCUGGGCCUUUCCCUUUUGCCCCCUUUGGGCAGUCUGACUAGUCGGACGGACCGUGCCCUGUAACGAGGGUACGAGUCCCGUGCCCCUGGUGCAGGCCUAGAUUGUGCAGAGCUCUGGACCGCCCUGUAAGCAGGGUACAGGUCUGUGUGUGCCUUUGAGGGCAGCUCUGUCUUUGGUCUGGCUGUGGCCCCCUUGUAAGCAGGGCCUUGGGCCUUUCCCUUUUGCACUCUGUGGACAGUGUGCCUAGUGAGAUGGACUGUGCCCUGUAAGGAGGGUGCGACUCCCAGAUUGUGCAGAGCUCUGGACCGCCCUGUAAACAGGGUGUACAGGUCUCUGUGCCUUUGAGGGCAGCUCUGUCUUUUGGCUGGCUGUGGGCCCCACCCUGUAAGCAGGGCUGUGGGCCUGUCCCUUUUGCCCCCCGUGGGCAGUGUGGCUUUUCAGACGGACUGUGCCCUGUAACGAGGGUGUGAGUCCCAUACCUCUUGGAGUGCUAGAUUGUGCAGAGCUGUGGACCACCCUGUAAUCAGGGUCCAGGUCUCUAUGUGCCUUUGGGGACAGCCCUGUCCUUUGCCUGGCCUGGCGGCCCCCCUGUAAAGAGGGCUCAGGGCCUUUGCCUUUUGCCCCCCGUGGGCAGUGUGGCGAGUGAGAAGGACCGUGCCCUGUAACGAGGGUACGAGUCCCAUGUCUUUUGGUGCAGGGCUGGCUUUAGCAGAGCUGUGGACCGCCCUGUAAGCAGGGUCCAGGUCACAGUGUGCCUUUGGGGACAGCUCUGUCCUUUGCCAGACCUGAUGGCCUGCCCUGUAAGCAGGGCUGUGGGCCUCUCCCUUUUGCCCCCUGUGGGCAGCCUGACUAGCCAGCCGGGGCCGGGCCCUGUAACGAGGGUGCGAGUCCUGUGCAUCCUGUUGCACACCUAGGUUCUACAGAGCUGCAGACUGCCCUGUAAGCAGGGUCCAGGUCACAGUGUGCCUUUGGGGACAGCUCUGUCCUUUGCCAGACCUGACGGCCCGCCCUGUAAGCAGGGCUGUGGGCCUCUCCCUUUUGCUCCUCUUGGGCAGUGCGGCUAGUCAGACGGACCGUGCCCUGUAACGAGGGUGCGAGUCCUGUGCAUCCUGUUGCACACCUAGGUUCUACAGAGCUGCAGACCGCCCUGUAAGCAGGGUCCAGGUCACAGUGUGCCUUUGGGGACAGCUCUGUCCUUUGCCAGGCCUAACGGCCCGCCCUGUAAGCAGGGCUGUGGGCCUCUUCCUUUUGCCCCCCGUGGGCAGCCUGACUAGCCAGCUGGGCCGGGCCCUGUAACGAGGGCGCCGGUCUCUGCCUUCUCGCCCCCUGGGAGCGGAGGAGGAUUUUCAGUGUAAGGCUCGAGGUCAAGCGGUUUGCAGCAUCGAGCUCCUUCCUGGCCUGGGAACACUUUUUCCCGUGUCAGUGUGUGGAGAGCGAGAGAGAGGAGCGCCUGGGAGUGAAAGCGUUUGUUAUUUUCUUUUUGUUGUUAAAAUCGCUGCAGCGUACUUUAUUUUCUUCCCAGUGCUGGGGAAGGGGCGAGAUGCGUCCUCGUAGCCUUCUUCUCCCACCUCCGUACCUAGGGGGACGGAUUUCCAGGCCUUUUGGUCUCGGGGAGUGUUAGGCCCCCUCUCUAAUACUUUUGGGCACACGGCCUCCCUGUAUGUCAGGGUACAGGCCUUAGGUCCCCUCUUUUUGGGUUGCUUUGGGCACUUGCUAGCUCGAUUGCAGUUCCUGCCCUCCUGGAGAGACAGCCAUGUAUUCUCCACUUGAGUCCCUGGGGACGAGUGCCCUGGCACUUGGCCAGCCGUUGCUCUGCGCCCCCGACCCCGGCCUGCAGCCUGUAAGCAGGGUCCAGGCCCCCUUGAUUCUCCGGGUUGGGUCUCGUCCCACUCGGUGAGGUUGGCCACAGAUGAUACCCACAGACUGCAGGGAAGGUUGCAGGCUUCUGGAGGAUACUGGGCGCGCUGGGACCCCUGAGGCUUCGUGACCUUCCUGUAACUCAGGUCCAGGUCUCUACUCUGCUGCUCCUGGCACCAUUGAGAUGGUCUCUUGCACCCUGUAAACAGGGUUGUGCCCCCCCCAACCCCUCUGAUCUUGGGGGAGGAGGCCUUUAGCCCUUUGGGCUCUGUGGCAGCCGUGAUGGGAGGCUGAAGUCAUGGGCUUUGUGUCCCCAGACACAGGGCUGCUUUGAGCCCUGAUUGAAGACCGCCUGAGGCACCCGUCAGCUGGCAUUCAGGGCUUUACAGGUUUUCUCUGGGCUUCAUGCCCCGCAGCCAGCUGUGUGCAGGGAGCACCGCCCUGUAAGCAGGGUUGCCGGUGUGUGUGGUCACCUUCAUGGUGCCGUCCUAGCACUUCUGUCCAGAGUCCUGGCCCAUUGCACUGCUCCUGGCUGGCUCGAUGUCGGCAGCCGAGUCCACAGACGUCUGCCCUCCCCACUUUCUGCGGACAGAGGACAGUGGUCACAGGUCCAGAGGAAGAAGCAGAGAAGACAACAGACAAAUAGGAGUUAACCUAUAACCAGGACAGCAAACAGUGCCAGCCCACCGGGAGACAAAGGUCCCUGAAGAGCAGCUGGAGAAGAAGGAACAGAAGCAGGACAAGAAAGCUCAGAAACAACAAGUGUGGGUUGGGGUGGACAGGAGAAAGAGGCAUAUGUUUAAUGUAUGUUUAGAUAAGUACAGAUGGAGACUGUCCUGUGCAUCUCUACACUUUCAAACACUCAGGAGCAAGCUGCUGCACGCUUCAAGUUGCACCAUGGACUCAGUUUUGGGUUGGACUUAUUUGUAGGCAGUGAAGUUGAGGCGUUGUGCUAGUUGUGUGUAUUGGGUUGGCCCCGAUUAGUAGGCAGUGAGGUCGAGGCAUUGUGCUAGUUGUGUGUAUUGGGUUGGCCCUAUUUGUAGGCAGUGAGGUUGAGGUGUGCUAGUUGUGCAUAUUGAUAUGUGGCAGUCUAGGUUUUUGCAGGUGGUUUGGCUUUGCUAGUUCAGGAGUUGAUCAAAAUAGAUGUGACUGAAGGUAGCGUGUAGGGUUUUCUGGGUUGGGUUGUCAGUGUUGGUGUAGAAAUGCAGGUUUGUGCUCCGUUUGGUCAGUGGCUUGGCUGUAGCUUGCUUUAGCCGUAGGUUGUGGGGCCAGUUUGAGGCUGUGGUGCAAUUUGGUUGCGUCUGUAAGUUAAAGCUCCAUGGGUGUUUGAAAGGGUUAAUCUCCAUCUCCAUGCACGAAGAUCCUAGAGGUAGUUGGCGUGCUCAGUGUCAAACCGGAUGUGCACAAUCGAAUAAUAAACAGUAUAAAAAAACUUGUGCCUGGUGCUCUUCUACACUGAGAGGACUUGGCCAUUACCCUUUCCUGUUGCGAUCUGGCUGGAGAAAUAAAGUUUUUCAUUCUGUCUACUGAUCUGAUCUGUCCUACUUGUUGAAUAAAAAUAUUUCCUGUUUUGAUUUAAAAAUGGCAAAAUAAUGUGACAGGUGGUGCCUAGUCACCAAUUUACAACUGUUAAUGCACUGUAAGAAAUCAGUCCUGAUUUAUUUGAGGAAAUAAAAAAUAAGGUACAGUGAAGUUGUGGUGCUUGGGUGCAAUCUGUUGAAGUUCAGCUGUCCCUUGUCUCAAAAGGAAAAAAUGGUCCCAAUAAAAAGAAAAUUCUCAGAAAA